rnacentral:lncRNA from 1 species
AAGGGAUGUUGUGGUGAGGGCAGUAACCCUGCCAGGAAAACAAAGUUAGUCUGCUUGGGGUGCCCAUCCUUCAACCCCAUUGAACUAAGGGCUGAGGAAGAAGAAAGUGUUUCACUGUAAAUGGAGAUGUCAGGACAAACUGUCACUGCAAUCACUAUACUACCAAUUAUUCAAGACAGACUCUGUUGCUAGGGUCUGGCUGAGAAAACACAUGGAACUUCUUCCCAGUUUUUAUCUCCACUAUCAGCUUGCCCUGUAAAGAUAUCUUCAUCCUGCUUUGUCUCCCCACUUUACUCUUCUUGUAUUUUUCUUCACAGUGUCUCCCUGAAGCCUUUUCCUCAUCCUGGGCUACUAAUCUCUGAGAUGAUAAACCCAGGAGAUGAAGUUUUUUCCUGCUGUGGCAGUCAGUUACAUUUUUUGUUCUUGUUCUGUCAGUUCUUCCAGCCUCACUGAUCUCCUCUGAAACACACAGGGCAGAGGACAGUAAAGAAGAACAGAAAGAGGGAGAAGUGAAGUCAUUGCCCAAUGCAGAAGAAGGCUCAAGUUACAUCUUUAGAUGGGAAAACUAUCAGAGCUUCUACUAAAACAGCUUCUGAGACCCUUUGUAUAAGAGGAAUUGUCCUUUUACUUCUAGAAACCAAAACCGAAGUCCUUCUCCACGUCUGGAUUCGUCAGCAACCGAGAGUUUUCCAAUUCUGGAGAGUAUAUAUUGCACUGAACAUCAGUUUAACCUCUAUAUUACCAUUUAAGUUGACUGAAGUGCUCUCAUGGCUUCAAAAUGGCACCUUCAGGUUGAUGACUGCACUCCAUGAAAUAACAUAGAGAGUAUAGAUUUUCAUGUCAAGCCAGGCACUGCCUGUUCUACAUCACAUCAACAAUCAGCAAAAUAAGUCCUGGUACAGCAAGUUAUUCUGCACAGAACAAAAAUGCAUUCAACAUGGCAGGAUCUUAUAGGAGAAGGAAUGUUUUUUAUUGAGCAAACUGCUAUAGGUGGAAAAGUGAUCAUGUUUUGAAGCACACAAGCCAUUCUGUUCUGAUGAAAGCAGGUGUUUCUCAUAUUCAUAGGCCAACAUCACAGCUACAUACAACAUCAUAGCAUGUAGGAAUGCACUCAGGAAGGAUAUGUUCCCAUUAAAGAGUAGGAAAAAAAAAUCAUUGAAGUUCUGUUGGAGGAAAAAAAAAGGUGCAAAAUAAGCUUAAGAUUGUUUUAAGAUUAUCUUUGCAAUCAGAGAAGUCUCAAACUUAAGUCUGUGAAAUGAAAAUUGGUGACCAGCUUAAAAAGAGGCAAUACGUAAGAGAGAUUAACCAUUAAAUUAUUGGUUGCUGAGAGGAGCAGUCUACAGAUCAAAUACUUUAAUUUACUGGAAUUUUAUUUUACAAACAGGCAGAGAGACAGAGACAGAGGUGAGUUGCUACUGGCCCUAGUUAGCUCCAAUUCCCCAAGAAAAUUGCCCAGAGUCCUAAGGACUGAAAGCCACUUGGCAGUAGCAAUCAAUAUGAUGCAGUGGUUCUUUGAUUGCUAGACAAAAGUUCAACGAUUAAACUUUAAUGCAGAAUCUCAGAGCAAAUGUUCUAGAAAUUUAUGUUAAAAAGGAUUAACUAGAAAAACUAUAUUAAAUUUAAACAGCUCAAGGAUUUAGAAGUAGGUUGGAAUGUAUCUAAGUCAAUUUUAUUAAAACUACACUCACAGGCAACUCAUUUACUUGUAAGGGUUUUUGUGGGGGGACAAUGUUUUAAGAGCCACAAUUUAAUUACUAAGCCACAAUACAAGUUAAGUGUUUUUUGCUAUUCUCUACUGUUACUCAUAAUGCAUGUAGAACAUGAAUUCAUUUGGCAACAAUAUCAAUUCCUGAAAAGGCUCAGAUUCCCAGUUGCUUUCAAAUUUGUUUAGUGGAGAAUUUAUUGCAUUACCUAUGCUAUGCAUUAAUACUGUAUUUGUACAUCUGUGUCUACCAUCUUUUGUUCCUUGUACUUCAGUGGGGUCUCAAUUAUUUUAAUGUACAUCCCUAACUUUUAAUAAAUCAAGAAGAAUUAUAUACUACUACUAAAUC